UGACUAAAGUUGUAUUUUCAAACUCACUUGAUUGUAGUCUUGACUGACCAACCAUUGAGAGCCCUAGAGUAACGACCUGAUACCUCAGGAAGAAUGGUGAAAUGUUUAAUCAAACUUAGCGAAUUCGAUAUUUCCUAUUACCACUAAUCUUUAAUGAAAGCUUAGAUAUUUGCCGACUUCAUUGCCGAAGGCAUCGUUCUUGAGGAUAGAGCAACUAUGGAUGGGUCCGACAAGCAAACCUCUAAACUUGCCAGGAU
rnacentral:lncRNA from 1 species